GGCUGAGGAGCUCUCCCCUCAGCGCUCCCUUGGACCUGCAGGUCACAGGCCUUGUGCCCAGAUCCACGGAAGAGACAGCACAUGCCGACUCAUACACCCCGUUGGGCCCCAUAGUCAUCGCUGUGGCAUCAGUGGCUGUCACCCUGCUCCUGUCUGCAGCCUCCUGCUGGAUCAUCAAGAAAGGUGCUUGUGGGAAGAGAUGUUGUAGGUGAGCAGGAAGUGGCAGGUCUGGGUAAUUGGUGGGCAUCUGGGACCCUGGGGUGCUGCUCCUUUUUCAGUGUGAGCUUUGUCAGUGGAUUCCCUCGUGUAGAGGAGGGAUUGCAGUACGAUAGGAGAUGGAGGCACUUUUCCCUGGGAAUAUCUCCAGUGGCCCUUGGAUGCUUUGUGGAACCUCAAUGCCUUUUCUCUCUGCUCUCUCUGUCUCUCUCCAU